rnacentral:misc_RNA from 1 species
GAUGAAGAACGUAGCGAAAUGCGAUACGUAAUGUGAAUUGCAGAAUUCAGUGAAUCAUCGAGUCUUUGAACGCACAUUGCGCCCCCUGGUAUUCCGGGGGGCAUGCCUGUCCGAGCGUCAUUUCAACCCUCAAGCCCCUCCGGGGGCCUGGCGUUGGGGAUCGGCCCCGCUCCGGCGGCCGGCCCCGAAAUGUAGUGGCGGUCUCGCCGCUGCCUCCUCUGCGUAGUAGAAACACCUCGCAUUGGGACGCGGCGGGCCCACGCCGUUAACCAGAUGAAUUUUUUCAAGGUUGACCUCGGAUCAGGUAGGAAUACCCGCUGAACUUAAGCAUAUCAAUAAGCGGAGGA